GUGAGGAAUAUUGCGCAAUGGACGAAAGUCUGACGCAGCCAUGCCGCGUGCAGGAUUGAAGGCCCUAUGGGUUGUAAACUGCUUUUGUACGGGAAUAAACGCUCCUACGUGUAGGAGCCUGAAGGUACCGUAAGAAUAAGCACCGGCUAACUCCGUGCCAGCAGCCGCGGUAAUACGGAGGGUGCAAGCGUUAUCCGGAUUUAUUGGGUUUAAAGGGUCCGUAGGCGGGCCGUUAAGUCAGUGGUGAAAGCCCACAGCUCAACUGUGGAAUUGCCAUUGAUACUGGCGGUCUUGAGUAUGUAUGAAGUUGGCGGAAUGUGUGGUGUAGCGGUGAAAUGCUUAGAUAUCACACAGAACACCGAUUGCGAAGGCAGCUGGCUAAUACAUAACUGACGCUGAGGGACGAAAGUGUGGGGAUCAAACAGGAUUAGAUACCCGAGUAGUCC
rnacentral:rRNA from 1 species